rnacentral:misc_RNA from 1 species
GAUGAAGAACGCAGCGAAAUGCGAUAAGUAAUGUGAAUUACAGAAUUCAGUGAAUCAUCGAAUCUUUGAACGCACAUUGCGCCCGCCAGUAUUCUGGCGGGCAUGCCUGUUCGAGCGUCAUUUCAACCCUCAGGCCCCGCCUGGCGUUGGGGAUCGGCGCGGCCCUCUCCGGGCUGCCGGCCCCGAAAACUAGUGGCGGUCUCGCUGUAGUCCUCCUCUGCGCAGUAGCAACGCUCGCACUGGAACUCGGCGCGGCCACGCCGUAAAACACCCCACUUCUGAAAGUUGACCUCGGAUCAGGUAGGAAUACCCGCUGAACUUAAGCAUAUCAAUAAGCGGAGGA